ACAUAGCGUUUGAAAAGUUGUUCCAUAUUAAUAGGGAUAAGCCACGUGCAAUUGUUGGCUGCAUAUUAGGAUAUUUGUUUCUUCUUCUUCCAUUAAAGCAUUCACGUUACAAACAAGGCUUGAUGAGCACAUUGAUCUGGACUGGGAGACAAGAAGUGACCGGCGGCGGCUCGACAGGGGAGACAGGAUGCAGCUGGCGACAACUCGACGCGUGGCAGUUAGAAGAUGGAGGCGGAUGCAUCUGGCGGCCAUUCGCCGAUGGAGACGAGAAGCCGCCGAGGUAUGGACCUGGAUCAUGAUGCACGAUGGAGCGCCUCGCAUGCAUGUUAUUCAUAUCGGCCUGUAUCAUGGCAAGUGCUCCACAUGACUACGUUGAAGCUUCACCUCAUCUGAACCAGAUUGGCGAGUCAUCUUCACAGGCCAACGUGAAACUCUAAUCAAGAUCGACAGAUGCUACCCAAAAGACUUAUGAUUCAAGACGCUCCGCAGUCUACGCCACCGUGGAACUCCGGCCAAGAUUGAUCGAUGUCGCAUGUGAUACACAUACAUAGCUUUAAGUGUUGUAUUUGAGUGGGAAAAUGGCAGCAUUCAUAAUGAAUUAUACUUUUUU